ACAACAUUUGGACCGUCGGGUUAUCGAGCAAUCUCACCCGCUGGGUGGUGGCCUCCCUUUAUCGU
rnacentral:pre_miRNA from 1 species